GUAUUGGUGAUUCAAUGGUAGAAUUUUUGCCUUCCAUAUAGGAGACCCAGGUUCGAUUCUCAGCCAAUACA
rnacentral:tRNA from 1 species